GAUAAUUAAAGUGUAGUGGUAGCGCAUUCGUCCGGCAAAUGGGAGCUGUAGGUUCGAAUCCUACCGAUAUCA
rnacentral:tRNA from 1 species